rnacentral:rRNA from 1 species
UAAUGUAUGGGGGACUGCCUGAUGGAGGGGGAUAACUACUGGAAACGGUAGCUAAUACCGCAUAACGUCGCAAGACCAAAGAGGGGGACCUUAGGGCCUCUUGCCAUCGGAUGUGCCCAGAUGGGAUUAGCUAGUAGGUGGGGUAAUGGCUCACCUAGGCGACGAUCCCUAGCUGGUCUGAGAGGAUGACCAGCCACACUGGAACUGAGACACGGUCCAG